rnacentral:rRNA from 1 species
UAGGGAAUCUUCCACAAUGGGCGCAAGCCUGAUGGAGCAACACCGCGUGAGUGAAGAAGGGUUUCGGCUCGUAAAGCUCUGUUGUUAAAGAAGAACACGUAUGAGAGUAACUGUUCAUACGUUGACGGUAUUUAACCAGAAAGUCACGGCUAACUACGUGCCAGCAGCCGCGGUAAUACGUAGGUGGCAAGCGUUAUCCGGAUUUAUUNUGGGGUAAAGAGAGUGCAGGCGGUUUUCUAAGUCUGAUGUGAAAGCCUUCGGCUUAACCGGAGAAGUGCAUCGGAAACUGGAUAACUUGAGUGCAGAAGAGGGUAGUGGAACUCCAUGUGUAGCGGUGGAAUGCGUAGAUAUAUGGAAGAACACCAGUGGCGAAGGCGGCUACCUGGUCUGCAACUGACGCUGAGACUCGAAAGCAUGGGUAGCGAACAGGAUUAGAUACCCUGGUAGUCCAUGCCGUAAACGAUGAGUGCUAGGUGUUGGAGGGUUUCCGCCCUUCAGUGCCGGAGCUAACGCAUUAAGCACUCCGCCUGGGGAGUACGACCGCAAGGUUG